GUUUCCAAUGUAGUCCAGCGGUGUACAAGGCUAGUAGUGCAGCUCAUUCCUUUUCUUUUCACUUCAACUUAUUGUAAAAAAAAGUUGAAUUUCCUGUGCCCUUUCGAUCGUGUGUCACCUCCACCGCCAAAAGUGUGCAUGCAAUUCAGUGUGUCCUAUUGCUGCGCAUGAAGGAACACUGAGGAUGAUGGUGAGCAAGCGAUGCACUCCAGUUACAACAAAAAGAUGCCUAGAUCAAAAUCUUCACUAUUGUUCUCCGUUGACAGCGAGCAGUGCAGGUUGCUCUUCAUUGCAGGUCGGUUGGAUCAUUGGUGCAGUACCCAAAUCGCUAGUGUUUUCGAUGCUACUCGCACACAUCACCGGUGGUUCACCGGAGCACCCCCUCGCAGCUCUCUCCUUCCCCAACAUGUAGUUCACCGGCGACGACCUUUAGUUUGUUUUGGUUGCUGUCGAUGCCAUCCCCACUGUAGUACAGUGUGCAUCAUGAUGGUUUUGUGUGUAUGUGUCUUUUGCAUGGUAGCCGACUGGGGGCCUACGUUCCUGUACAAUGUAAAAAUAGCAUGAAAAAAAGUGCACUUCUGUUGUAUCCAAGUUUCAUUUCUCCCUCAAUGUACAUUGGACAUGCAAAAAACUGUGUCCAGAUGUUCACUUUUUUCCAUGGAGAGGUUCAGUUUUAUUGUGUGGAGAGGUUCGCUCCACUAUACUAUGCACUUUUCUUUGUUUUUUAGAGGUUUGCUCCACUGUACUAUGCAUUUCUUUUUGUUUUAAACAAUAACAAAAAGAAUCUCGUGCAAUCCUCUGUGAUGACAUUGCAGUGCACUUUUCCGUCUGAUGCAGCACACUAACAUUGACAAAUAUGGUCCACUAAACCCUAGAAACAAGUUAGAAAAGACAAAGAAAAAUCAUAAUGUACACGUAGACUUGUGUCUUG
rnacentral:lncRNA from 1 species